UUCCAAGUCCAAUGUGCUCACUGUUAUGUUUGCCUUAAUGUGUUCGGUGAUUUGAUCAUGAGCGUCUAGUUGUCUUAUCAUGAUUUUUUGUUGAUUUUUUGUUCUUCAUCUUAAUUGAUCAUGUCCUUCGUCCAUGAGAAUCUUAGACUUGUAAUGUUUCAAAAUUUGUAGAACGGGAUGUCUUUUAAGUCUCUGAUAUUUCUCCCUCUUUCUCUCUAUCAUCGUCAUCGUUGUUCUGUCUCUCCUCUCCGUGCGUCCCCUAGUCUGAGGGGACACUACCACAGAACAGUCCCCGCACUCUUCGCCGUCGUUGAACCCAAGUCUUUUCUUCGCUUCGUCGUCGUUAAACCCACACCCUCCUCCUCGUCGUUGUCCUCAAAGUCACUUCUCUUUCUCGUCAUUGUUGCAAACCCUCUACCUCGUCAUCGUACUCUAACUCUCUUCCCUUCUCGUCGUCGUCAUCCCAAACCCCAAGUCCCUUCUUCUACGUAGUCAUCUCAAACCCCCUUCUUCCCUCGUCGUCGUCAAGACACCUCUUCUCUCGUCGUCGUCGCCCCCGUACCUCUCCUCCUUGUCUCCUCUGAUCUCCCGUCUCCCUCCACCUACCUCACCGAGACCACCUCGACCACCACGCGCUACCUACCUACCGACGCCGCCACCUCACCUCACCACGACCACCACGUACCACCUCCACGACCCACCGUACCGCGACUACCUACCUCCACUACCACCUCACCACCUACCUCUACCCACUACUCCACCCUCCGCGUGGUGGUGCGGCCGGACCGGCACCGUCGUCGGCCUCCACCUCUUCCUCCCACUCCCUCUACCUCUA
rnacentral:rRNA from 1 species